AUGCACGCUGGCGGCGUGCCUAAUACAUGCAAGUCGAGCGAACGGACGAGAAGCUUGCUUCUCUGCUGUUAGCGGCGGACGGGUGAGUAACGCGUGGAUAACCUACCUAUAAGACUGGGAUAACUUCGGGAAACCGGAGCUAAUACCGGAUGAUAUUUUGUACCGCAUGGUUCAAAAGUGAAAGACGGUCUUGCUGUCACUUAUAGAUGGAUCCGCGCUGCAUUAGCUAGUUGGUAAGGUAACGGCUUACCAAGGCAACGAUGCAUAGCUGACCUGAGAGGGUGAUCGGCCACACUGGAACUGAGACACGGUCCAGACUCCUACGGGAGGCAGCAGUAGGGAAUCUUCGGCAAUGGGCGAAAGCCUGACGGAGCAACGCCGCGUGAGUGAUGAAGGUCUUCGGAUCGUAAAACUCUGUUAUUAGGGAAGAACAUAUGUGUAAGUAACUGUGGACAUCUUGACGGUACCUAAUCAGAAAGCCACGGCUAACUACGUG
rnacentral:rRNA from 1 species